rnacentral:rRNA from 1 species
AUUGAACGCUGGCGGCAUGCCUUACACAUGCAAGUCGAACGGUAACAGGUUAAGCUGACGAGUGGCGAACGGGUGAGUAAUACAUCGGAACGUGCCCAGUAGUGGGGGAUAGCCCGGCGAAAGCCGGAUUAAUACCGCAUACGACCUAAGGGUGAAAGGGGGGGAUCGCAAGACCUCUCGCUAUUGGAGCGGCCGAUGUCAGAUUAGCUAGUUGGUGGGGUAAAAGCUCACCAAGGCGACGAUCUGCAGCUGGUCUGAGAGGACGACCAGCCACACUGGGACUGAGACACGGCCCAGACUCCUACGGGAGGCAGCAGUGGGGAAUUUUGGACAAUGGGCGCAAGCCUGAUCCAGCCAUGCCGCGUGCGGGAAGAAGGCCUUCGGGUUGUAAACCGCUUUUGUCAGGGAAGAAAUCCUUUGGGUUAAUACCUCGGGGGGAUGACGGUACCUGAAGAAGAAGCACCGGCUAACUACGU